GACGAACCGUGCGAACGUUGUUCGGAAUCACUGGGCAUAAAGGGCGCGUAGGCGGCUUAUCAAGUCAGGGGUGAAAUCCGGCAGCUUAACUGUCGAAGUGCCCUUGAUACUGAUGAGCUCGAGGGAGAUAGGGGUGUGUGGAACUUCCGGUGGAGCGGUGAAAUGCGUUGAUAUCGGAAGGAACGCCGGUGGCGAAAGCGACAGCACUGGAUCUCUUCUGACGCUGAGGCGACGGAAAGCCAGGGGAGCAAACGGG
rnacentral:rRNA from 1 species